ACAAAAAUUAGCCAGGUGUAGUGGUGCCCACCUGUAAUCCCAGCUACUCAGGAGGCUGAGACAGGAGAAUCGCUUGAACCGGGGAGGUGGAAGUUGCAGUGAGCUGAAAUUGCACCAUUGCAUUCCAGCCUGGGUGAUAAGAGUGAAACUCCAUCUCAAAAAGAAAAAAAGGCUUUUGAAAACUAGAGGUAGGGGAUGGAGGUAGGUGGGACGGGGGGAUUUGGGGAUGGAACUUGCAGAGUUAGAACUUGCCAGGGAAAGAGGGUGGUGUUAGGACUCAGGAGACAGGGUUAGGAUCUAAGUCGUCCUCUUCCACUAUCCUGACACCACUGUUGCCCCAGGCCUGGGCCGAGGCCACUGGUGCAUACGUUCCCGGGAGGGAUAAGCCAGACCUGCCAACCUGGAAGAGGAAUUUCCGUUCUGCCCUCAACCGCAAAGAAGGCUUGCGUUUAGCAGAGGACCGGAGCAAGGACCCUCAUGACCCACACAAAAUCUACGAGUUUGUGAACUCAGGAGUUGGGGACUUUUCCCAGCCA
rnacentral:sRNA from 1 species